rnacentral:rRNA from 1 species
AUUGAACGCUGGCGGCAGGCCUAACACCUGCAAGUCGAGCGAGCGGCGGACGGGUGAGUAAUGUAUGGGGACUGCCCGAUAGAGGGGGAUCAAUACUGGAAACGGUAGCUAAUACCGCAUACUAUCGGAUAACCCAUAUGGGAUUAGCUAGUAGGUGAGGUAAUGGCUCACCUAGGCUACGAUCCCUAGCUGGUCUGAGAGGAUGAUCAGCCACACUGUGACUGAGACACGGCCCAGACUCCUACGGAGGAAGCAGUGGGGAAUAGUGCACAAUGGGCGCAAGCCUGAUCCAGCCAUCCCGCGUGUAUGAUGAAGGCCUUAGGGUUGUAAAGUACUUUCGGCAUAGAAGCGGUAUCUGCAGAAUAAGCACCGGCUAACUACGUGCCAGCAGCCGCGGUAAUAC